rnacentral:rRNA from 1 species
UGGGGAAUAUUGGACAAUGGGCGCAAGCCUGAUCCAGCCAUGCCGCGUGAGGGAUGAAGGCCUUAGGGUUGUAAAGCUCUUUUACCUGGGAAGAAAAGGACGGUACCAGGCGAAUAAGCACCGGCUAACUACGCGCCGGCAGACGCGGCAAGACGUAGGGUGCAAGCGUUACGCGGACUUGCUGGGUGGAACGUGCUGGGAGGGGGGGAGGUACGUCGGGUGUGAAAAGCUAGGGCUCAACCCAAGACC